ensembl:lncRNA
AUGUUCCAUCACACACAACACCUAAGAUAUAUGUGUGUGUGAGGCAAUCAUGCAAACAGAACUCCUGCUGCCAAGCCAAUAUGCUGUGGCAUAUGUCUGUUGUGUGUUUGUGUGCGUGAGCGUGUGCAUGUGUGCGUGUGUGUGCGUGUGUGUGCGCGCGUCUGUGUGUGUGUGUGUGUAAGACUCAUUAAAAGCUGUGAUCUCCUUGUCAUUUUUUCCAAGAUCCUCUAAUCCUCUGCAAUAGCCCACGCACACACACAUGGAAACACACACACACACACACACACACACACACACACACACACACACAAUCAUGCAGACAUUCAGGCACGUACCAAUGUUCCAACACACAGACAAAGCUUUCAGGAAUUCUAAUGGAGAGCUCGAUGGCUCCUACCCGACGUACGGCUACACAGACCUUCCCCUGGACACCCUGCCCCUUGACCCCGACCUUCACGAGUCCUACAUGCCUGACAUGACCUACGACCCCAGACACCCUUACCCGGAACCCCUCUAACAGGUUAACAGCUCCCUGUCAGUGUUACAGGACAUGGGACAACCAGGAGCAAGAAAAGAUGGGAUGGGGAAGGAAAAGGAAAGAGACGAUUUGCUGUGCGUAUGAAGAGGACCUGAAGGGGACCACGUUUGGAGAGGUUUUUAAUCACAGAGGACUGGAACGGGAUGAAAUACAAAAUACCACUUGGCAAUCAAGAACCACUUUUAGGAGGAGGGAUGUGUAUUAUACGUGUUCAUUGUAAGUGUAAAUGAAAUGUUCUAUCGUGUGUGUGUGUGCUUGUGUGUGAGGGAGCAUGAGAGAGAGAGUGUGUGUGUGAGAGAACUAGUCAGAGAGAGUGUAUGUGUGUGUGCAUGCGUGUGGGUGUGUGUGUGUGUGUGCGUGUGCAUACUUGGGGGAAUGUUAGAUGGGUGUCUUUUGUGAAGCAACGGAUCGGAGCAACAUUGCGUCAGGAUGUUUGCAGAUCCCAUCUCACUCUGAGACGUUAGGGGAAACCGUCUGCUGCCAGAUUUAACAAGCAGGCAGACACUUAUUACCAUCUGUUCAAUCGUUUUUUCGGUAGCCCUAUCAUACCUUCAGGGCGGACAGAUUGUAUUCAACCACUUUUAGAACACAAUGUAUUUAAAGAUACUGUUGGCUCUAAUCCGAGAGAUUUAUUAGGAUACAUAAUGGGUAUUUUUGGCAUUGAACCCUAAACCUUUUUAUUCUGCGAUUCAAAAAUUAUCUUUCCUUACACAUCCGGUAGGAUAAAACCUGUCUCUGUUGCUUCUAAAAGUGCCCAUGUUGCAUGCCUCAAACGGUCUACAGGAGUCCUUUAGCAUUUCUUAAGACAGGUCCUGGGGUGUGUCCACUCGUGGUUGUUGCAUGGCAGUGUACCAUGUGAUUCUCUUAAUAUGUCCACCUCCUACACAUAGAAGCAAAACAGGAACUCUAGUAGGGAGGACGCCGUUGAUGUUAAAAAGCGCCAUGCAGAACGGUCAGACUCUGCUGAUCCGUCCAGGCGCGCUUUCUGUUAGCUCAUAGCCAACACACCCUGCACUCAAACCAUAGGUUAAGGGACAAAGAAAGCAUCCCAGAUUACGAAAAUAUAUCAAUCGGUUCACCAAGCAGACCCACUAAUAUGCACUCAAAACUAACAGCACAAGUUUCAAGUGUCUAUCUGUCUAGACACAGUCAUUUAAUACAAUGCGCUUUGGAGAAAAAAAAAGAUCAAAAACCAAUUUUAUACUGGUGUCUUUACCGCUUUGUGUAUAGUGUAUGGAAAGAUGUGUCUUGUUUUUAUUUUUUGUAUGCUAAUGUACAUGCUUGUACUAGGUCUAGAAGCGGGAAUGGCUGUGCUGUUAAAAGAUGCAACAUUUAAGAAAUGAAGUUCCUAGAAGGAACAUGAGGGAGACCCCCUGCUGGUUAUACGCACUCCUGAUCAGAAUCCUUCAUUAUAUGAUUGACAAAUAAAAAGGUUCCACUUUAAGCACCACAUAAGUGUUUAAAGUUAAAUGGACAAAUUAAAAAUUAUAUUUCAAU